rnacentral:rRNA from 1 species
AACACGUGGAUAAUCUGCCCUAAGGUGGAGGAUAACCUCGGGAAACUGAGAAUAAUACUCCAUAAGUCUAGGAUGCUGGAAUGCACUUAGGCUAAAAACUUCGGUGCCUUAGGAUGAGUCUGCGGACUAUCAGGUUGUAGUCAGGGUAAAGACCUGACUAGCCUACAACGGAUACGGGUUGUGAGAGCAAUAACCCGGAGAUGAUAUCUGACACACGAUAUCAGGCCCUACGGGGCGCAGCAGGCGCGAAAACUUCGCACUGCGCGAAAGCGCGAUGAGGGAAUCCCAAGUGCUUGCACGUAAGUGUAAGCUGUUCCUUUGUUUGAAACGCAUUGAGAGUAAGGGCUGGGUAAGACGGGUGCCAGCCGCCGCGGUAAUACCUGCAGCUCAAGUGGUAGCCGCUAUUAUUGGGCCUAAAACGUUCGUAGCCGGUUUGAUAAAUGCCUGGGUAAAUCGUAUGGCUUAACCAUACGA